rnacentral:rRNA from 1 species
CACGUAGGGGGCAAGCGUUGUCCGGAUUUAUUGGGCGUAAAGAGCUCGUAGGCGGCUCAGUAAGUCGGGUGUGAAACCUCCAGGCUCAACCUGGAGACGCCACCUGAUACUGCUGUGGCUAGAGUCCGGUAGGGGAGCGUGGAAUUCCUGGUGUAGUGGUGGAAUGCGUAGAGAUCCGGAGGAACACCAGCGGCGAAGGCGGCAUCCUGGACUGGUCCUGACACUCAGGAGCGAAAGCGUGGGGAGCAAACAGG